GCAGUCGAGGGGUAUUGGUUUUCGGACCAAGAGACCGGCGCACGGGUGCGUAACGCGUAUGCAACCUACCUUUUACAGAGGGAUAGCCCAGAGAAAUUUGGAUUAAUACCUCAUGGUAUAACACGACCGCAUGGUUGAGUUAUUAAAGUCACAACGGUAAAAGAUGGGCAUGCGUCCCAUUAGCUAGAUGGUAAGGUAACGGCUUACCAUGGCAACGAUGGGUAGGGGUCCUGAGAGGGAGAUCCCCCACACUGGUACUGAGACACGGACCAGACUCCUACGGGAGGCAGCAGUGAGGAAUAUUGGUCAAUGGACGCAAGUCUGAACCAGCCAUGCCGCGUGCAGGAUGACGGUCCUAUGGAUUGUAAACUGCUUUUGUACGAGAAGAAACACUCCUUCGUGAAGGAACUUGACGGUAUCGUAAGAAUAAGGAUCGGCUAACUCCGUGCCAGCAGCCGCGGUAAUACGGAGGAUCCAAGCGUUAUCCGGAAUCAUUGGGUUUAAAGGGUCUGUAGGCGGUUUGGUAAGUCAGUGGUGAAAGCCCAUCGCUCAACGGUGGAACGGCCAUUGAUACUGCCAGACUUGAAUUAUUGGGAAGUAACUAGAAUAUGUAGUGUAGCGGUGAAAUGCUUAGAGAUUACAUGGAAUACCAAUUGCGAAGGCAGGUUACUACCAAUUGAUUGACGCUGAUGGACGAAAGCGUGGGGAGCGAACAGGAUUAGAUACCCUGGUAGUCCACGCCGUAAACGAUGGAUACUAGCUGUUGGGAGCAAUUUCAGUGGCUAAGCGAAAGUGAUAAGUAUCCCACCUGGGGAGUACGGGCGCAAGCCUGAAACUCAAAGGAAUUGACCGGGGCCCGCACAAGCGGUGGAGCAUGUGGUUUAAUUCGAUGAUACGCGAGGAACCUUACCAAGGCUUAAAUGUAGUUUGACCGAUUUGGAAACAGAUCUUUCGCAAGACAGAUACAAGGUGCUGCAUGGUUGUCGUCAGCUCGUGCCGUGAGGUGUCAGGUUAAGUCCUAUAACGAGCGCAACCCCUGUUGUUAGUUGCCAGCGAGUAAUGUCGGGAACUCUAGCAAGACUGCCGGUGCAAACCGUGAGGAAGGUGGGGAUGACGUCAAAUCAUCACGGCCCUUACGCCUUGGGCUGCACACGUGCUACAAUAGCCGGUACAGAGAGCAGCCACUUCGUGAGGAGGAGCGAAUCUAUAAAACCGGUCACAGUUCGGAUCGGAGUCUGCAACUCGACUCCGUGAAGCUGAAUCGCUAGUAAUC
rnacentral:rRNA from 1 species